UUCACGAAGUGACGGUAGUGAGGAAAAUCGCAUACAUUUUCACUUUUGAUUUUUUUGCAUUUUUGGACAUCAUUCACUAACAUCUUGAACCUCACAAAAUUUCAGAUCAUAAUAAUGUCUAAUUAUGUCGCUAUGACGAUGACGUAAACAAGAAAAUGCAUAGCAAAAGGAUUUUCUGUUUUCACGAAGUGACGGCCAAGUACGCGCUUAACAGCCGUCAAUUCGUGAAAACAUCGUUUGCUCUUUUCCUGCUUUUAAUAUUUUCACGAAGUGACGGUAGUGAAAAUUUCGCAGUUUGGAACAGUCACAGACCAUGAAAAGUUUCAGAUGCAGUAGAUACAAUUUGCACUUAUAUGAAGGAUGCACUGGGAAAGUACAUCUACUUUUCAAGAAUGCCACAGGCCAGACACAAAUCCAGAUUGGAUACAGGGACCGACAUGCUGGUAAGAUGGGUCCUUGAUAAUUCACUGAACACAGAGCUGCAGAUGUGACUCGGCAUAGUGACCUAAGAGUGGGAGCGGUAUGGAACCGUUGAAGCAAUUCACCGAACACUGUUGAAGCAAUUCACCGAACACAGUCAGAGCUGCAUGUGUGACUUGGCAUGGUGACCCUUAAAGUCUCCUGACGGCUCCGAUUGCGAUUCUGAUGAUGACCCAUUGUCUAUGCUUGUGAGCGAGUCAAAAGCAGUCUAGAUCAAGGAUCUUCUCUGCUUCAACCACUAUCGCUUGGAUGACAUUAUGUGUGAAGAAACUUGAAGGACUUGUGUUGAAGGGCAUGCUUGAGAAACUAGAAUCAAUUACAUUGAUCGUUUUGUCAAUGCUUCAAUGUUUCAAUACCUCAAUCUCUCUUUUAUACUGUUUGAUUUUAAACAUUUUGAAUAUCAUAAAUAAAGCAAACUCUACUCAUAAUUGUAAUUGUGUGUACUAGUAAUUACAAUGAAAUGGAUUGAUUAUAAAAUCAAUGAAUUGAUUUAAAGCAAACUGGUAAUAUUUUCCAUGAGUUCUGAAACAAUUAACUGAAUGGUCGUACAGGUGUCAGUUUUCUGUUACAGUAUUAUAAUGAACUCCUGCAAACAUAAAUCUUUAAUAUUCAAAUGUAUAGCUCAGAACUGCUAUUUAUCAGGUAUACCUACCUCGAUCAGUAAUGCAUAUUAGAGUUUUCGAUUCCAGUUCCAUGAAUCCUCAUAUUGUAUCUUUGUAUUGAAGAAUUUGUUUGUCCAUUCUUUAAAUGUUUGUAUUCACAGGGGUUGAUGCCUUCAUUAGAACAUGAAUAUAAGUUACAUUUCAACAAUUGGUUUUUCUCUCAAAACUCAAUGUUACUAGUUCACAUUUAAUGUUUUAAUUUAUUACUUCUAUAGUCAUUCUCAUCAUAAUUGUAUUUGGUACUUCAAACUAUCCUAUAAUGAUCAUACAAUAUAAUGUUGCUGUUUUGAAUUGUAUCUGUUUGAUGAGAAAUGAAAUUGUUUAGUCAAAUUGAUAUUUCCAUGUUUAUCAUGCAUUGUUUAGCUGAUAAUAGUUAAGUCAGAGAUUACGUGUUUACCUGGGUGAAGACAACCUUUAAGCAUUGGUAAACUUUGUAGCGUUCUGAUACUCUACUCACAAGAUAUUUAUGAAAAACAGUGAUGAACAAAAAAGUAACGAUGAUGAUUAUAUUAGUCAUUUUCCCAUUGAAAAACUUCAUGAUACAUGUAGUACAUGUUUGUCGAGCAUUUUGUAUGUCACAUGUGGCAUUUACUCGCUACGAUUGCUGAAUAAACAUGAUAACCAAGUCGUAUAUAAAGAAUUAGAUAAAGACAUUUUAGCAUAUUUACAAGUACUGUAUAAUGAAUGAAAUAACCUUCGUAUUCCGUGGAUGUAUAUAACUGAUGAGUCUUUUCCACAAAACCCUAAUUGUACAUUUUAAAAUGCAAUACAGUAUUGAUGAUAAUUGAUGAUGAUAUGUUUGGUAUGAAUUAUUUAAUAUUUUUGAAUUUAUGCUCCAUUUUCCACUUGCUGUUCUGGUUCCAAAUGUUUGAAUUAAAACUGCUCAGUCAAAAUUCA